GGGUAUGUAUCCAGACACCAAGGAUUCAUUAAUUAGAGUUGAGACGGAUUUAGCAAUUGCCGGCGCACUGAGCUUCAACAGCAUUGCUGGGAUUUGAUCGGGUCCGGACUGGUUUUUCAUUUUUAGAUUAUUAAGAUGUUUUUUAAUGACACUAAUAGGUACAGGUCUAAAAAUAAACGUAUCUAUAUUGGGCCUUUGCAAAUUUAGUGUGACCUGAUCCACAUUAGUAGUUUCAGGAUGCGUAUCAUUUAUUAGCUUGGCAAUCAGGGCAGUAGAGCAUCCGACAAAAUAAUUGUUAAAGGCAUUUGCUACAUCUAAGGGAAGUUGCAGGGUUUGG